UACGGAGGGUGCAAGCGUUAUCCGGAUUUACUGGGUUUAAAGGGUGCGUAGGGGGGUUGGUAAGUCAGUGGUGAAAUCUUCGAGCUUAACUCGGAAACUGCCAUUGAUACUAUCAAUCUUGAAUUAUCUGGAGGUAAGCGGAAUAUGUCAUGUAGCGGUGAAAUGCUUAGAUAUGACAUAGAACACCCAUUGCGAAGGCAGCUUACUACGGAUAUAUUGACACUGAGGCACGAAAGCGUGGGGAUCAAACAGG
rnacentral:rRNA from 1 species